AUUCUGAAGAAGUUCUUGCCGUAUUGUCGGAGCCCCUUAACGAAGCGUUUCUGUGAUAAAAAAGAAACAAGUGAGAUGUAAAAACCAAAACCAAAACAGGAUGUCAGCAAAGCAAAGAUAUCUGCAAUCAGCAGAAAAGCAACCACAGAAAAGUCUGAGCUGGGGAAUAUUAGCCAGGCUGGAGGCUUUCAGCGGCACAGCUGGGACCUGCUGGCAGAGCAGGGCAGCCCCCGGCCUGCGGGGAACCACAAGCAGCGCCCAGCGCCGUGCGUUUCGAGAAAAGCAAUCGGAGCUACGACGGCCUCCGGGAUCCACAAGCUGCAGGAAGGUGCAAACAACAAACAGCCUGCGUUGCAAUAAACCAACAUAGCUGCUUUUCACCCGCGGAAGCAGAUGCCUUCGCAAAAGUGUCUCGGGCCGAUACGGCCCUCUUCCCAACCCCUAACCUCAGAAGCCCACAAGGAGCCGGGAGCCCCGGAGCCGGGAGCCUCUGGGGUCGAGCUCCCAGCCCUCCCGGUCCGCCUGACCCGAAGCAGACUUUCACUUUGCCCGGUUCCACGAGCAGCUCCCACCUCCGAUCCGAGGGAACCUCGCAGCUACAGGGCCAGGCCGCAUGCCCACAGAGAGGAAGAGAAACCCGCGCCGGUUCCUCCCGUCUGCCGUGGCCACUCCGGCCCGCGUGGCUGAGACGUUUGCUCCCAGGCCCCGGUAUCAGCCUGUACUUCGCAAGUGAUCACCACGGAAGCGCCCCAGCCAAUAAAUCAGCUGCCCACUGGGAAGAGAGGCCUCCCACUCUGGGUGUCAGAGACCCGCAGGACAAACACAGAGAAGGGCCAGACCUGGCCUACAAGACCCAUCUACAGCCUCCCACUCUAGUCCUGCAGGCUCUGCGAGUUCUGAGUUCUCCCAGUGCUGGAUAUGACUCAUCACUGUCAAAUUUCAAUAUAACUGAUAUAGUUCAGUGGGAAAAUUCUGAGGCACAAGAAAGCAGUGCACACUCCUUGGGAUGAAGAGCAGACUUCUGGUACUUGACUUCUGUAUCAGUCACGCGAUCAACAGGCAGCCUGAGCUGCACAGAGCACCUCUAUGGAAACUAGAGCAAGAGAAAGCUCAGUCCUCAAGGAGUUCCAAUCAGCCCAGAGAAGCAACUAGGUACAUAUGGAUCUGGGGCCUAUAAAGAAAGCAGCAGAGGAACAAAGGGUGGUAGGUGGGGCUAGGAGGAGGAAGCUAGCUCUGCUUGACUUAGGGGUCAGGACAAGAAAGAGCGCAAGCCUGCCAGGUGGGCGCCAGCUGGGCUCCCAAUUGACCAGGAAGGACAUAGGAACAUUCUGGAAGCUCCAAGGAGGACAAGGCAUGCAGAAGAACUGACUGCUUAUAGAUGAGACUUAGAGGCCUGUGAAGACCAGGUUGCAGAGCUUUGAGAAAUUAAGACCAAUGGCAGACCAGGGGUUGAAGGCGGAGCUUUCCUCGGGAGGCCCAAGUUGUGGAGUAGGAAGAGAGCAGCAGAGGCUGGUGGCACAGCACUGUAGGAGACAAGACCCCGAAUUCACUUUGGUUAAUGUGUCCUGAGGUUCCUGUGCUGUUGCUGGGGAACACCUGCCUGAGCUCUCGGUGCACAGCGGGCUCCACACCCACUGCCGAGCUCUCCUGUCCACCCUGAGACAGCUAGCUGGACCUGGACAAGAAGCUUCAUUCACCAUUAGUCCCACCAAUCAGCAGAGUGGCAGUUUAUGCAUGGCUUGGCGUGGAAAGGGUGGUGAGGUGUAUCUAAUGCAGCAGUAAGAUGGCCGCUCGCUACCUUCAUAGCCACUGCCUCAGGCUCUCCGUGCCAGGGCCUUCCUGAUCACUACAGCCACCAUAGGAGGCAAAGCUUCUAACAGCUCCAUCUCAGAGAUGAGGAAAUUAUAUGGAAUCUAGGUAUCAAAUCCUUGAUUCAGGGUAGGAGGGUCAAAGGUAGCAGACAUAAACAGGGGGAGCCUAGAGACUUGCACGGGGUGCAGACAUUAAAAGCAAUGUACAGGUCAGAGAUAAAGGUUUCUGUUUUAAGAUAAAGUAUUAAAAAUAUCUAUAGGGCUGGAGGGAUGGCUCAGUGGGUAAGAACACUGACUGCUCUUCCAGAGGUCCUGAGUUCAAAUCCCAGUAACCACAUGGUGGCUCACAGCCAUCUGUAAUGAGAUCCAAUGCUCUCUUCUGGUGUGUCUGAAGACAGUAACAGUGUACUUACAUAUAUAAAUAAAUCAUUAAAAAAAAUCUAUAUAUGGGCAGGUAAAGGUAUCUCAUUCUUUAUCCUUGUUUUGGCCACUUAAACAACCUUUGCCUUUUACAUAAAAUUCCUGCACCACUCCCUCCCCCAACAAUAACAAAAGACUCUGAACAUCAAAUUGGAAGUUACAAGACUCAUGAGAGAAAGGUGAGACCUGCAGAUGAUCAAGUGUGCCUGUACCCAUAGAUCACAUGAGCACAUGGCUCCCUCAGAAAUCAUCUGACCUGGGUCAGUAGCAGGGGAAAGAGCAGAAACGUGGGGGUUGGACUUCUGCAUUAGCCACUGGCUGAGAGCUUUCAAAAUUAACUCCCUCUGGUGAAUUUUAACUAGUGUAUCACAGUCAGAAACUCGACAUGACUUCUCUACUUGGUCCUCUUGCAUAACAGUUUAGAAAACACUGUAGGUAUUAAAAUGAGUCCCACUGUGAAAAUGGCCUUCUGCUCUAUCCUGUUUGCUGCACAGAACUUGAUGUUAAUAAUGCAUUGGUUCUCAGGGGACUGAAGAGCAGGCAAAUCUGCAAGUAAGCAGCUUCCAGUCUCCUACUGCCUACCCAGAGACACACAAAAGUGAGCCCUUCAGCUAGGCAGUGGGAAAACUCUACCCUCUGUUUCCUGAAAGGUAGAAAGGCAGGACAAAAGGUGUCUUUAAUUUGACUAAUGAGGGGUCUCAGAUCAGAAAGAGUACUGGCGCAGGGCGAUGGUGGUGCACGCCUUUAAUCCCAGCACUUGGGAGGCAGAGGCAGGCGGAUUUCUGAGUUCAAGGCUAGCCUGGUCUACAGAGUGAGUUC